UUCUUCCUCCUCUUCUUCUUCUGUGACUCAACAAGUUCAGCUCACAAACCCCAUGAGCAUACUAAAACUUCCUCUCUUGUACCCACAACAACAGCAGCAGCAUCAGCAGCCAGAAUUUGUGAAAGAAACCAUCCAAUGCUUACCUCUUCUAAGCAGACUCACAGAGAAUAAAGCAUUGAAAGAAGAGAAUAUGGGGGUGCAAGAAACUAGUUUUGGACUUAAAGAAGAGAAAAUUGACAAGGUUACAGUGGCUUUGCACAUUGGACUGCCUAAUAGUAGUGGAGAUUCUCAAGUUGAAACCAAAGUUUUUGAUCUUAAAGAACAACAACAACAACAACAGCCACCACCCAUCAAGAAAAGCUUCCAAGGACACUGCUCUUUCAACACAGAAAGUAGGUUUUGGAUCCCAACUCCUGCUCAGAUCCUUGUAGGGCCUAUGCAGUUUGAGUGCUCCAUAUGCAGCAAAACCUUCAAUAGGU
rnacentral:misc_RNA from 1 species